CUACGGGUGGCUCCAGUGAGGAAUAUUGCACAAUGGAGGAAACUCUGAUGCAGCAACGCCGCGUGGAGGAUGACGCAUUUCGGUGUGUAAACUCCUUUUAUAUGUCAAGAAAAUGACGGUAGCAUAUGAAUAAGCUCCGGCUAACUCCGUGCCAGCAGCCGCGGUAAUACGGAGGGAGCAAGCGUUACUCGGAAUCACUGGGCGUAAAGGACGCGUAGGCGGGAUAGAAAGUCAGGUGUGAAAUCCUAUGGCUCAACCAUAGAACUGCACUUGAAACUUCUAACCUAGAGUAUGGGAGGGGAAGAUGGAAUUAGUGGUGUAGGGGUAAAAUCCGUAGAUAUCACUAGGAAUACCAAAAGCGAAGGCGAUCUUCUGGAACAAUACUGACGCUAAGGCGUGAAAGCGUGGGGAGCAAACAGGAUUAGAUACCCGUGUAGUC
rnacentral:rRNA from 1 species